rnacentral:rRNA from 1 species
UCGAGCGAUGAAGCACCUUCGGGUGUGAAUUAGCGGCGAACGGGUGAGGAACACGUGAGAAAUCUGCCUUCAACACUGGGAUAACUCCGGGAAACCGGGGCUAAUACCGGAUAUGAAAUCUGCGGGCAUCCGCGGAUUUGGAAAGUUUUUCGGUUGAAGAUGAUCUCGCGGCCUAUCAGCUUGUUGGUGAGGUAAUGGCUCACCAAGGCGACGACGGGUAGCCGGCCUGAGAGGGCGACCGGCCACACUGGGACUGAGACACGGCCCAGACUCCUACGGGAGGCAGCAGUGGGGAAUAUUGGGCAAUGGAGGAAACUCUGACCCAGCGACGCCGCGUGCGGGAUGAAGGCCUUCGGGUUGUAAACCGCUUUCAGCAGGGAAGAAGCGAAAGUGACGGUACCUGCAGAAGAAGCACCGGCUAACUAUGUGCCAGCAGCCGCGGUAAUACAUAGGGUGCAAGCGUUGUCCGGAAUUAUUGGGCGUAAAGAGCUCGUAGGUGGUUCGUCACGUCGGAUGUGAAACUCUGGGGCUUAACCCCAGACCUGCAUUCGAUACGGGCGAGCUUGAGUAUGGUAGGGGAGUCUGGAAUUCCUGGUGUAGCGGUGGAAUGCGCAGAUAUCAGGAGGAACACCAAUGGCGAAGGCAGGACUCUGGGCCAUUACUGACACUGAGGAGCGAAAGCGUGGGGAGCGAACAGGAUUAGAUACCCUGGUAGUCCACGCCGUAAACGGUGGGCACUAGUUGUGGGGACCUUCCACGGUCUCUGCGACGCA